rnacentral:rRNA from 1 species
GAUGAACGCUGGCGGCGUGCCUAAUACAUGCAAGUCGAGCGAACGGACGAGAAGCUUGCUUCUCUGAUGUUAGCGGCGGACGGGUGAGUAACACGUGGAUAACCUACCUAUAAGACUGGGAUAACUUCGGGAAACCGUAGCUAAUACCGGAUAAUAUUUUGAACCGCAUGGUUCAAAAGUGAAAGACGGUCUUGCUGUCACUUAUAGAUGGAUCCGCGCUGCAUUAGAUAGUUGGUAAGGUAACGGCUUACCAAGGCAACGAUGCAUAGCCGACCUGAGAGGGUGAUCGGCCACACUGGAACUGAGACACGGUCCAGACUCCUACGGGAGGCAGCAGUAGGGAAUCUUCCGCAAUGGGCGAAAGCCUGACGGAGCAACGCCGCGUGAGUGAUGAAGGUCUUCGGAUCGUAAAACUCUGUUAUUAGGGAAGAACAUAUGUGUAAGUAACUGUGCACACCUUGACGGUACCUAAUCAGAAAGCCACGGCUAACUACGUG